rnacentral:rRNA from 1 species
CCUACGGGAGGCAGCAGUGGGGAAUAUUGCACAAUGGGGGAAACCCUGAUGCAGCGACGCCGCGUGAGUGAAGAAGUAAUUCGUUAUGUAAAGCUCUAUCAGCAGGGAAGAAAAUGACGGUACCUGAGUAAGAAGCCCCGGCUAACUACGUGCCAGCAGCCGCGGUAAUACGUAGGGGGCAAGCGUUAUCCGGAUUUACUGGGUGGAAAGGGAGCGUAGACGGCAGUGCAAGUCUGGAGUGAAAGGCGGGGGCUCAACCCCCGGACUGCUCUGGAAACUGUACGGCUGGAGUGCAGGAGAGGUAAGUGGAAUUCCUAGUGUAGCGGUGAAAUGCGUGGAUAUUAGGAGGAACACCAGUGGCGAAGGCGGCUUACUGGACUGUAACUGACGUUGAGGCUCGAAAGCGUGGGGAGCAAACAGGAUUAGAUACCCCUGUAGUC